CAUCCCUAGCUCAAAAAUUAAGCUUUUUGACAUUAAAAAUAUUGAAAGUUUUUAAUAAUUUUGUAUUGCAAUAUUCACUAAGAGGCAUUGCUUUCAUAUUGAAAUCUAAAAGAAUUGAAAAGUAAAUAUUUGAAGAAAACCCAGAAAAUUCCACGCAGCGAGAUCGUUGGCCAGGUGCGAACCCACGACCAACUACAUUUAUCAGUGACGUUACAAGUAUCUGCCAAUUGAAAUAAAUAAAUUGAGUAUUAUCUAUUAUCAGUAUUAAACUUAUUUUAUAAUUAUCGCUUUAAUAUUUUUUACGAAAGGAGUUUUGGAAGUUAUAAUAAUAACAAUUAAUAUGUAAAAUAGAAAUUCUUAUCGUUACAUAUUUUCACGAGAAAAAUCAUUAUGGCACGGUUACCAACUUUAACGACACUCGAAGAGACGAGGAAAACGUGCCUUUAGAGUAAUAAAGAGAAUCGCUAGCAAAAGAAAUUUUGACAGUGAAUAAUCUAAAUAUGGAAUAAUUUUUUUAUUAUUAAAUUUAAUUAAAUUUUGUAGAUAAUGACGUCAAACCAACUAAUGACGUUUACUCGUUGGUAAUUGGAUGCGUGGUUAAAAUGUAAAUCAAAGUACUUUUCACUUUUAUCCAGCUCAUUAGCUUCGACCCGCAUGAAAAUAAAAACAACAAUUUCAUGGAAACGGCUUUUAACAAAUAAAAAUGAUCACAAAUACCUUAAUGACGAAGAAAACAAUUAAACAAAAUUAAAAGCGACAAUGAUAAUCAAUAAACGUGUUCUACGUGUUGUUUUAAGUGACGAUAUCAUAAUUAAAUAAAUAAUCCAUAAUGGAUAAUUUCGAUCAAUCUUCUAAGCGUAUAAGUUUUAUCUAUGGAAAGUAUUCGUCUGAUAUUGCUAAAAACAGAAGACUAUAUGAAUAAUAAACAAAAGAUCGUUGUUUCAGCUUCUCCAUUAAGGAUAGAAUGUACUGUACGUUUUUCAUUUCUUCCUUUAACAGUUAGUUUUCUAGCGCCUAUCAGUGGUCGAGUGAAUAAAACAUUGGCAGUUAGUCGUGGGUUCGCACCUGACCAAUAGAGUUUACAGAAUUUUCUUUGCCUGUCAAAUACCUAAAUAGACCUGGAUUCCCAUAGAAAGUCCUGGCGGGAGGAGUAUCCUCUAAGAAGAUCGACCCACGUGUUGCGUUAUCAAUCCAGAUUUUAACACCUAAAAUACCUUUAUCAUAUGAUUAAUACUUUU